rnacentral:misc_RNA from 1 species
AACCUUAUGGACCUGCGGGCGUAUACCUGCGGAAGGAUCAUUAAUGGCUAUGAUUCUAGUAUUUUGCUCUAAACAAAAAAACUAGAACCAUCUCUUAUCCUGUGCAAUGAAUUUGUCGCCUGGGGUUUGAAAAUAGUCUUUUUUGGGCUCAUCUUCUUGGGCCUUUUUAAGCUGACCCCAAUACGCAUUCUUUAUUAAACUACUUUUUUGUAACUGAAAAACCAAAAAAAAUUUUUCUUG